AGCAGCAGUCAGAGCUACAGAGUUUGGGGUGAGAACUGAUUCCAGACCCCCCAAAACUCCCUUGAGACCCCUCUUGGAAAGGAGGGACAUGGACUCCUAUUUUGGAGAGCAGUUUUGGACAUGCAGCACCAGAGAGGGAGAGAGGAGCUGAGAAGCUCAAAGAUAUCCCUGAGCUGG